GGUUAAGCGACUAAGCGUACACGGUGGAUGCCCUGGCAGUCAGAGGCGAUGAAGGGCGUGCUAAUCUGCGAUAAGCGCCGGUAAGGUGAUAUGAACCGUUAUAACCGGCGAUACCCGAAUGGGGAAACCCAGUGUGACUCGUCACACUAUCAUUAACUGAAUCCAUAGGUUAAUGAGGCGAACCGGGGGAACUGAAACAUCUAAGUACCCCGAGGAAAAGAAAUCAACCGAGAUUCCCCCAGUAGCGGCGAGCGAACGGGGAGGAGCCCAGAGCCUGAAUCAGCAUGUGUGUUAGUGGAAGCGUCUGGAAAGGCGCGCGAUACAGGGUGACAGCCCCGUACACAAAAGCGCAUGUGCUGUGAGCUCGAUGAGUAGGGCGGGACACGUGGUAUCCUGUCUGAAUAUGGGGGGACCAUCCUCCAAGGCUAAAUACUCCUGACUGACCGAUAGUGAACCAGUACCGUGAGGGAAAGGCGAAAAGAACCCCGGCGAGGGGAGUGAAAAAGAACCUGAAACCGUGUACGUACAAGCAGUGGGAGCACAGGUUUACCUGUGUGACUGCGUACCUUUUGUAUAAUGGGUCAGCGACUUAUAUUCUGUAGCAAGGUUAACCGAAUAGGGGAGCCGGAGGGAAACCGAGUCUUAAUUGGGCGUUAAGUUGCAGGGUAUAGACCCGAAACCCGGUGAUCUAGCCAUGGGCAGGUUGAAGGUUGGGUAACACUAACUGGAGGACCGAACCGACUAAUGUUGAAAAAUUAGCGGAUGACCUGUGGCUGGGGGUGAAAGGCCAAUCAAACCGGGAGAUAGCUGGUUCUCCCCGAAAGCUAUUUAGGUAGCGCCUCGUGAAUUCAUCUCCGGGGGUAGAGCACUGUUUCGGCUAGGGGGCCAUCCCGGCUUACCAACCCGAUGCAAACUGCGAAUACCGGAGAAUGUUAUCACGGGAGACACACGGCGGGUGCUAACGUCCGUCGUGAAGAGGGAAACAACCCAGACCGCCAGCUAAGGUCCCAAAGUCAUGGUUAAGUGGGAAACGAUGUGGGAAGGCCCAGACAGCCAGGAUGUUGGCUUAGAAGCAGCCAUCAUUUAAAGAAAGCGUAAUAGCUCACUGGUCGAGUCGGCCUGCGCGGAAGAUGUAACGGGGCUAAACCAUGCACCGAAGCUGCGGCAGCGAACGUAUCACUUAAAGCGAUUCAGCGGGUUACGAUUGACGGAGCGAAGCGACGUCAAAGCGUAUACAAAGUCGAGUCGGUUUAAGGAUACGUUCGUUGGGUAGGGGAGCGUUCUGUAAGCCUGUGAAGGUGGCCUGUGAGGGUUGCUGGAGGUAUCAGAAGUGCGAAUGCUGACAUAAGUAACGAUAAAGCGGGUGAAAAGCCCGCUCGCCGGAAGACCAAGGGUUCCUGUCCAACGUUAAUCGGGGCAGGGUGAGUCGACCCCUAAGGCGAGGCCGAAAGGCGUAGUCGAUGGGAAACAGGUUAAUAUUCCUGUACUUGGUGUUACUGCGAAGGGGGGACGGAGAAGGCUAUGUUGGCCGGGCGACGGUUGUCCCGGUUUAAGCGUGUAGGCUGGUUUUCCAGGCAAAUCCGGAAAAUCAAGGCUGAGGCGUGAUGACGAGGCACUACGGUGCUGAAGCAACAAAUGCCCUGCUUCCAGGAAAAGCCUCUAAGCAUCAGGUAACAUCAAAUCGUACCCCAAACCGACACAGGUGGUCAGGUAGAGAAUACCAAGGCGCUUGAGAGAACUCGGGUGAAGGAACUAGGCAAAAUGGUGCCGUAACUUCGGGAGAAGGCACGCUGACACGUAGGUGAAGUGAUUUACUCACGGAGCUGAAGUCAGUCGAAGAUACCAGCUGGCUGCAACUGUUUAUUAAAAACACAGCACUGUGCAAACACGAAAGUGGACGUAUACGGUGUGACGCCUGCCCGGUGCCGGAAGGUUAAUUGAUGGGGUCAGCGCAAGCGAAGCUCCUGAUCGAAGCCCCGGUAAACGGCGGCCGUAACUAUAACGGUCCUAAGGUAGCGAAAUUCCUUGUCGGGUAAGUUCCGACCUGCACGAAUGGCGUAAUGAUGGCCAGGCUGUCUCCACCCGAGACUCAGUGAAAUUGAACUCGCUGUGAAGAUGCAGUGUACCCGCGGCAAGACGGAAAGACCCCGUGAACCUUUACUAUAGCUUGACACUGAACAUUGAGCCUUGAUGUGUAGGAUAGGUGGGAGGCUUUGAAGUGUGGACGCCAGUCUGCAUGGAGCCGACCUUGAAAUACCACCCUUUAAUGUUUGAUGUUCUAACGUGGACCCGUUACCCGGGUUGCGGACAGUGUCUGGUGGGUAGUUUGACUGGGGCGGUCUCCUCCUAAAGAGUAACGGAGGAGCACGAAGGUUGGCUAAUCCUGGUCGGACAUCAGGAGGUUAGUGCAAUGGCAUAAGCCAGCUUGACUGCGAGCGUGACGGCGCGAGCAGGUGCGAAAGCAGGUCAUAGUGAUCCGGUGGUUCUGAAUGGAAGGGCCAUCGCUCAACGGAUAAAAGGUACUCCGGGGAUAACAGGCUGAUACCGCCCAAGAGUUCAUAUCGACGGCGGUGUUUGGCACCUCGAUGUCGGCUCAUCACAUCCUGGGGCUGAAGUAGGUCCCAAGGGUAUGGCUGUUCGCCAUUUAAAGUGGUACGCGAGCUGGGUUUAGAACGUCGUGAGACAGUUCGGUCCCUAUCUGCCGUGGGCGCUGGAGAACUGAGGGGGGCUGCUCCUAGUACGAGAGGACCGGAGUGGACGCAUCACUGGUGUUCGGGUUGUCAUGCCAAUGGCACUGCCCGGUAGCUAAAUGCGGAAGAGAUAAGUGCUGAAAGCAUCUAAGCACGAAACUUGCCCCGAGAUGAGUUCUCCCUGAGACUUAGAGUCUCCUGAAGGAACGUUGAAGACGACGACGUUGAUAGGCCGGGUGUGUAAGCGCAGCGAUGCGUUGAGCUAACCGGUACUAAUGAACCGUGAGGCUUAACCUU
rnacentral:rRNA from 1 species